rnacentral:rRNA from 1 species
UGCCCUAGUAACGGCGAGUGAAGCGGCAACAGCUCAAAUUUGAAAUCUGGCUCUUUUAGAGUCCGAGUUGUAAUUUGCAGAGGGCGCUUUGGCGUUGGCAGCGGUCCAAGUUCUUUGGAACAGGACGUCACAGAGGGUGAGAAUCCCGUACGUGGUCGCUAGCCUUCGCCGUGUAAAGCCCCUUCGACGAGUCGAGUUGUUUGGGAAUGCAGCUCUAAAUGGGAGGUAAAUUUCUUCUAAAGCUAAAUACUGGCCAGAGACCGAUAGCGCACAAGUAGAGUGAUCGAAAGAUGAAAAGCACUUUGGAAAGAGAGUCAAAUAGCACGUGAAAUUGUUGAAAGGGAAGCGCUUGCAGCCAGACUUGCCUGUAGUUGCUUAUCCGGACUUUUGUCCGGUGCACUCUUCUGCGGGCAGGCCAGCAUCAGUCUAGGCGGUUGGAUAAAGGUCUCUGUCAUGUACCUCUCUUCGGGGAGGCCUUAUAGGGGAGACGACAUGCAACCAGCCUGGACUGAGGUCCGCGCAUCUGCUAGGAUGCUGGCGUAAUGGCUGUAAGCGGCCCGUCUUGAAACACGGACCAAGGAGUCUAACAUCUAUGCGAGUGUUUGGGUGUCAAGCCCAGACGCGUAAUGAAAGUGAACGGAGGUGGGAACCCUUUGGGUGCACCAUCGACCGAUCCUGAUGUCUUCGGAUGGAUUUGAGUAAGAGCAUGGCUGUUGGGACCCGAAAGAUGGUGAACUAUGCUUGAAUAGGGUGAAGCCAGAGGAAACUCUGGUGGAGGCUCGCAGCGGUUCUGACG